AGUGAACGCUGGCGGUAGGCCUAACACAUGCAAGUCGAACGGCAGCACAGUAAGAGCUUGCUCUUACGGGUGGCGAGUGGCGGACGGGUGAGGAAUACAUCGGAAUCUACUUUUUCGUGGGGGAUAACGUAGGGAAACUUACGCUAAUACCGCAUACGACCUACGGGUGAAAGCAGGGGAUCUUCGGACCUUGCGCGAUUGAAUGAGCCGAUGUCGGAUUAGCUAGUUGGCGGGGUAAAGGCCCACCAAGGCGACGAUCCGUAGCUGGUCUGAGAGGAUGAUCAGCCACACUGGAACUGAGACACGGUCCAGACUCCUACGGGAGGCAGCAGUGGGGAAUAUUGGGCAAUGGGCGCAAGCCUGAUCCAGCCAUACCGCGUGGGUGAAGAAGGCCUUCGGGUUGUAAAGCUCUUUUGUUGGGAAAGAAAAGCAGCAGGUUAAUACCCCGCUGUUCUGACGGUACCCAAAGAAUAAGCACCGGCUAACUUCGUG
rnacentral:rRNA from 1 species